rnacentral:rRNA from 1 species
GCGAGUGAAGCGGCAAAAGCUCAAAUUUGAAAUCUGGUACCUUCGGUGCCCGAGUUGUAAUUUGGAGAGGGCAACUUUGGGGCCGUUCCUUGUCUAUGUUCCUUGGAACAGGACGUCAUAGAGGGUGAGAAUCCCGUGUGGCGAGGAGUGCGGUUCUUUGUAAAGUGCCUUCGAAGAGUCGAGUUGUUUGGGAAUGCAGCUCUAAGUGGGUGGUAAAUUCCAUCUAAAGCUAAAUAUUGGCGAGAGACCGAUAGCGAACAAGUACAGUGAUGGAAAGAUGAAAAGAACUUUGAAAAGAGAGUGAAAAAGUACGUGAAAUUGUUGAAAGGGAAGGGCAUUUGAUCAGACAUGGUGUUUUGUGCCCUCUGCUCCUUGUGGGUAGGGGAAUCUCGCAUUUCACUGGGCCAGCAUCAGUUUUGGUGGCAGGAUAAAUCCAUAGGAAUGUAGCUUGCCUCGGUAAGUAUUAUAGCCUGUGGGAAUACUGCCAGCUGGGACUGAGGACUGCGACGUAAGUCAAGGAUGCUGGCAUAAUGGUUAUAUGCCGCCCGUCUUGAACCACGGACCA